GAUGAACGCUAGCGGCAGGCCUAAUACAUGCGAGUCGAGCGGCAAGUUGAGAAGCAAUUCGAGACCUAGAGCGGCGUACGGGUGCGUAACGCGUAUGCAACCUACCUCAUACAGGGGGAUAGCCCGGAGAAAUCUGGAUUAAUACCCCAUAGUACAUAUAGAGGGCAUCUGAAAUAUGUUAAAGAUUCAUCGGUAUGAGAUGGGCAUGCGUCUGAUUAGCUAGUUGGCGGUGUAACGGACCACCAAGGCGACGAUCAGUAGGGGUUCUGAGAGGAAGGUCCCCCACACUGGCACUGAGCUACGGGCCAGACUCCUACGGGAGGCAGCAGUAGGGAAUAUUGGGCAAUGGUCGGAAGACUGACCCAGCCAUGCCGCGUGCAGGAAGAAGGCCCUCUGGGUUGUAAACUGCUUUUAUCUGGGAAGAAAAGGCCCGUGCGCGGGACAUUGCCGGUACCAGAUGAAUAAGCACCGGCUAACUCCGUGCCAGCAGCCGCAGUAACAC
rnacentral:rRNA from 1 species